UGAUUGGCCAAAUUGAGAGACGCGCGCGGCUCUGCUCCGCCCAGCGCCCUGGAGCGGCGGGACUGCGCGCGCAGCUGCCGGCGUCAGAUCUUUCAGUGCUCUUCUCCUCUGAGACUGACAGCAGACAUGUUGAGUGGACUUGACUUAGCUUGGAUCAGAAUGGGGGAAAGAGGUCAAAGGUCUCAAACAUCAAUCAUGCCAACUUCACAGUUCUUCUGGGGCUCAGAUGACUUGACCACAGGCCACUACAUGCCCAGCUAUACCACGGAUCAUGCAUAUUGGGAUUUUGAGUAUUCCAUGGCAGUGAGGAAGGGGAAUACCAAGUUGUGGCAGUUCUCUGGCUAAA